UACGUAGGUGGCAAGCGUUGUCCGGAUUUACUGGGCGUAAAGAGCGCGCAGGCGGUCGUGCAAGUCGCGUGUGAAAGCCCCCGGCUCAACUGGGGAGGGUCACGCGAUACUGUUCGACUCGAAGGCAGGAGAGGGAAGUGGAAUUCCCGGUGUAGUGGUGAAAUGCGUAGAUAUCGGGAGGAACACCAGUGGCGAAGGCGACUUCCUGGCCUGUUCUUGACGCUGAGGCGCGAAAGCUAGGGGAGCAAACGGG
rnacentral:rRNA from 1 species